AACGAACGCUGGCGGCAUGCCUAACACAUGCAAGUCGAACGAGACCUUCGGGUCUUUUGGCGCACGGGUGCGUAACGCGUGGGAACCUGCCCUCAUGUAUAGAAUACCUCCCCGAAAGGGGUGCCAAUACGGGACCAUGUCUUCGGACCAAAGAUUUAUUGCCCCUGGUUGGGCCCGCGUUGAAUUAGCUCUUUGGUAGGGUAAAAGCUUACUACGGCAACGAUGCAGAGCUUGGCUGAGAGGGGGAUUAGCCACACUGGGACUGAGACACGGCCCAGAGGCCUAAGGGAGGCAGCAGUAGGGAAUCGUCCGGAAUGGGCGAAAGACUGACGGAGCAAAGCGGCGUGGGUGAUGAAGGUCUUCGGAUCGUAAAACUAUGUUAUUAGGGAAGAACAUAUGUGUAAGUAACUGUGCACAUCUUGACGGUACCUAAUCAGAAAGCCACGGCUAACUACGUG
rnacentral:rRNA from 1 species